rnacentral:rRNA from 1 species
UACGUAGGUGGCAAGCGUUGUCCGGAAUUAUUUGGGCGUAAAGCGCGCGCAGGCGGUCCUUUAAGUCUGAUGUGAAAGCCCACGGCUCAACCGUGGAGGGUCAUUGGAAACUGGGGGGACUUGAGUACAGAAGAGAAGAGUGGAAUUCCACGUGUAGCGGUGAAAUGCGUAGAGAUGUGGAGGAACACCAGUGGCGAAGGCGACUCUUUUGGUCUGUAACUGACGCUGAGGCGCGAAAGCGUGGGGAGCAAACAGG